rnacentral:rRNA from 1 species
UGGGGAAUAUUGGACAAUGGGCGAAAGCCUGAUCCAGCCAUGCCGCGUGUGUGAAGAAGGUCUUCGGAUUGUAAAGCACUUUAAGUUGGGAGGAAGGGCAUUAACCUAAUACGUUAGUGUUUUGACGUUACCGACAGAAUAAGCACCGGCUAACUCUGUGCCAGCAGCCGCGGUAAUACAGAGGGUGCAAGCGUUAAUCGGAAUUACUGGGCGUAAAGCGCGCGUAGGUGGUUUGUUAAGUUGGAUGUGAAAUCCCCGGGCUCAACCUGGGAACUGCAUUCAAAACUGACUGACUAGAGUAUGGUAGAGGGUGGUGGAAUUUCCUGUGUAGCGGUGAAAUACGUAGAUAUAGGAAGGAACACCAGUGGCGAAGGCGACCACCUGGACUAAUACUGACACUGAGGUGCGAAAGCGUGGGGAGCAAACA